rnacentral:tRNA from 1 species
AGCACAGUGGCCUAGUGGUAAGAGCAUGGACCUGGGAAUCAGAGGACCUGGGUUUUAGUCCCAGCUCUGCCA